GUGGGCAGAAGCACAGCACGGAGGGAAGGUGGGGCAGAAGCACAGCAUGGAGGGAAGGUGGGGGACAAGCACAGCACAGAGGAAGGGAGAGGGAUCAGGCUGCAGGCACGGAGGGGAAGGACACAGGAGGCAAGGCUGAGAGAAGGGAAAGCUGAGAGCAGCAAGCACGGAGGGGAAGGGAGUGUGUUCAAACUUUCAUAUUCUGCCAAAUUUUGUAAAAUGAAUAUGGUAAUAAGGGGGUCUGGCCACAAAAUGGGCAUGGUCAAAAAUGGUCGCUGCACGUUAUCAAGGUAGAUCUCCUGAUGGGGGCCAGGGUCGAGUAGAUCCCAGUGUAAUAAAGUCUACCACAAAUAAAAUCUAACAAAAUAACUGACUUUGGCACAAAUCCUGCAUGUAGAGAGAUACAAUUUCUGUCAAGAGUCAGGUUUUCUGAAAGCAUGAGUUCUAAUUACAUCUUUUUGGUAAAGUGAAGCUUUGGUAAAAGCUAGGUCUAGCUGUCCAUCUGACAACUCCUGCAUGAAGAGAUACUGCUGUGUAGAAGACUAAUUUCAUUGUUUCAGAAAAAGUCCAUGAUAUUUAAUCAAUUAUAUUUGGAAAUAUUCUUAUUUCUGUAAUAUUAAGAUUAUAUUCCAUUUUCAUUUUUGGGAUAGUUCAUCUUUAAAAGAACAGUAACAUCAAAAAAUGUUGUUUAAAUAAUUUGUUAGUAUACAUAGAAAAAAAAAAACACCAAGACAAAUUAAAAUCACAAAGCCUUUAUUAAGAAAUAACUUACCUAAACUACGAUUCCGCUCCAAUUCAGGGCUAUCAUAUAUAAGGAAGGCAGGGAGGAGAAAUCGAGCGCCGCACAAUGGAUAGCCAUUGACUUUCUGAAGAAGAGCGCAAGUGGAGUUUCGGGCGUCCACCUGGCUUUUAUAUUUAAUUUGUCACAGGUUACAAAAGAAUAAUUAAAUGUACAGACCAAGAAGUGGAAGGCAUUUAAGAAGCAGCCACUACCCGUAUUAUAGAAGAUAUACAUAUGACUCUUCUGAUUACUUUUCUAAAGAUGAUGAGCUGUUUGAUAUGAAGAGGGCAAAAGGACCUAUGCAGGCCAAUCCUCGAUAUGGACAUAAAUGUGACAUAAGUAUUUUUGUCUUUUUUAAAUUUCUCUAAAUAUGUUGACGCUUUAUAAAUGUGUUAAAAAUAAUCGGUAGUAUUGUACAUUGUGCCAGGCACUUCAGAACACCCAAUGGGAGAAAUGUAACCCUCAAACAAGCCCGAUUUGGUAAUCCCCAAGUCCAGGGAUACAUCAUUCACCCAAUGUAGCUGUGACUUAGCUUUCAUUUGAAAAGUUUGCAAUAGCAAACUAUACAACAUUCAAAUACCAAAUAUAGCAUGAGCUUCUGUAAAGAAAUAUGUUUUAAAGGGGUGGUUCAUCUUCAAGUUAACUUUUAGGAUAUUAUAGAAUGGCUAAUUCUAAGCAACUUUUCAAUUGGUCUUCAUUAUUUAUUUUUUUUAUAGUUUUUUAAUUAUUUAACCUUCUUAUUUUGACUCUUCCAUGCUUUCAAAUGGGGGGUCACUGACCCCAUCUAAAACAAAUGCUCUGUAAGGCUAUAAAUGUAUUCUUAGUGCUA